ACUCCCGGGUAAAAUGCUAUAGCGGUAUUCCGUGCGUUUGUGGAUUUAUUCGUGGUUCAUGAAAUACUGCCACCCCAAAAUUGGGGUCUGCGGGCGUCAUUGCUGCUUUCCCGGUGGUGACGCUGGUAGGCACCAACAACUCAAGACCAAGUAUGAAGGCUUCGCUCAAUCGAGCAGAAUCCUCUCUCUCUCUAUUCAAUGUGUCCCAUCAAUAUACAAUAAUCUGGGUAUUUAUAGAUGACGGUUCACCUACCAAUCCCCGUAAUUUACACUGUAAUGCCAUCCAACAACUAUAUUCCUAGAAUAUUCCAUGGACAAGAUCGUAUUUUUACAUCACAUAGUGGAUCACAGCUGGGUUCCUACCGCCCUGGGCCCACCUUCGGGCGUCAUCUUUGACCUGCUUUGAUCCUCACUGCCUGCGGCGCAGCUGCCCAGGAAGCUUCGCGGGCCUUUGGUCGAUGACCGAAGGUGGCAUCCCCAACAGUAGCCCCUCGGACUCAUUGCCCCUCCUUGGAGGGGCGAUGACUCCGACUUCUUCUACCGAAGCGCCACCCUUUGGGCCUCGUCCGAUCACUUCGUGGUCCGACGAGGGCAGAAUCUCGUUUAGACACCUGUUGACCAAUGGACAAGACAUCGAGGCGUCAUAAGUGCAUUAAUAACUAAUUUAAACGGUUUGACUUUUUUCCUUCGACACGGUGAAUGAGGCACUCACUGCGAACUGCCGAUGUUGCCCCUCUGCGCGCGCUCGCCCUGUGAAAGGCAAUGAAGGGCAAAAUGGACUUUGCACAUCCUCGCUCCCACCCUAUAAAAGUGAGGGCACGCGAACGGGGGAGGCACGCUCCCUUUGCUCGCUGCACUGAACUCUCUUGCUCUCUUCUGCCUCGGCUUCUCUUCGACGCAAGCUAACAAAGCCUCUACUCCUUUCCCUUCGUUGGCACCAUGGCGACCUCAUCCGACCCCGCCAUGGCUCCAAAGAAGAACAAAGCUCCGCCUACCACCUUCUUCGGUCCGACGAAGAUGACUUUGACCAUGUUAGAGGACACAGAGAAAAGAGGUGUACUCUCUCCUGGCCUCGGACGGGUCCCACCAAUGACGGAUGUCUACGCGAAGCCCCAUGAUGACGAAGUGAUCGUCUUCAAGGAUUUCUUCCCGGCUGGGCUUCGCUUUCCCCUCGACCCCGCCAUUAUUGACAUCUUUGCUCGGUACGAUGUCUUUCUUCACCAUAUGACUCCGAACUCCUUCACUCGCAUCAGCCUCUUCAUGUGGCUGUCGAAGACCGACCGCAUCACCCCGACCCCUGAGAACUUCGCUCAGGUGAUGCGGGUUCAUUAUCAGCCGAAGACCAUCUUCGUGCGAGGCACCGACGGCAAGUCGACAGAGAUGGAGCCCCAGUACGGGUGCUACACCUUCGCUUUUCAACAGACCGCCCCCAGCCCCGUGGGAGCAUCGAAGAACAAAUGGCCGGGGGAUUGGUCUUCGUUUUGGUUUUAUCACAAGGUGCCCCUCGACCCGGCCACAAAGCGCCACCCUCUGGUGACCCGGAAGCUUGGCAAUCUCGGUGACACCCUAAAGGUGGACGUGGACCGCGUGCCCACCAAUGAAGCGUACCUGACAAUCCUUCGCGAGGUGUCUAAGGUACUAAGCAUGUGCGACAUCACGGAAGAGUUUGUGGCGUGCGGGUGCUUCCCCGUUAGGGAUGGCUGGACCGUGUCCUCAUGGGCUCCACUGGAGAAGGAAGUUUACGGGCUUCCUAUGCCCAACUUCAGCGAAGUCUUCGGGCUUCAAGAAGAAUGUGAGUUUUUUUUAUCGAAGACCUGAGAACUUUUCCUUCGGCUUGCAGUGAUUAAUGCCGCGGAGGUGGAGACCCGUGCCGACGAGAUCCUUGGCCCCGUGUCUGGGACCGAGUAUGAUCUGCUGCUGUCAAAGCUCGCUGGCACGUGGGGAAAUCGGGUGUUCUCCUUCUUUGAGAUCGAGGCCCCGCAGCACUCUGCCAAAGCCCAGCUCGCCACACAGAAGGCAACGAGCAAGACUGGAGAUACGGGCGGCGCCACCGCCAUGCUCGAGAAGAGGAAGAGGAAAAAGGGGGGUUCCGACCCCGGUGGAGCGAAGCGUACGAAGCUACUCGACAUCCUGACUUCGUCGCCCCUUCGCAGCACAGGGGACUCUGAUGACGACGGGGGAAAAUGGAGCCCCGCCGCCACCGCUCAUCCUCUAGUCGCUGCUCGGCCUCUCUCGGCCGUCGCUCCUAUGCUGAAGCCACCUCUGAUCUUGGAGUACAGUGUGAUGGAGCCGGAGAGCGACGACGAAUUCGCCCUCAAGAUCCAAUCCGCCCCCGCGGCCACAGAGCGCCUCGUGACCACCUCGUCCGCGGCCCCUUCUUCAGCCUCGUCGACUUCUUCGGGAUCGUUGUCGUCGUCAAGCGGCGAGGACGCCGAAGGGCGGGUCGGGGUCCAAAGUACAGGCCGCUGCCUUAGGCGCGGGCCCGAAGCUCCCCGAAUCCGGGUCGUUUGGUUCGGCUGGUCGAAGGCCCGCGGCCUCCACUUCUACGGAGAGCAGCAACUAUCACGUUAGCACCUCCAAUCCUAUCGAGGUGGCUACUGCUCUCGGGAUGCCGGAGGCAAGGUUGAUCGGGGGUAACAUUGUUGGAAGCCUCCGGUUUUCAAGCAGUGACCGUGAGAGGCGAUUUCUUGCCGAAGCUGGCUCCUCAUUUGGUUUCCCCCUCAUCGAAAGGCGUUUGAUGGCCUCCGGCAUGAGCCAAAUCCUUCAAGAUGUCGAGGACCUCUCCUUGUAGGCCUUCGUUGCCUCCCGCUGCGCCUCCCACAACUAAGGAUUGAUAACGAACAGACUUCGCAUUUGGCGUGAGUGGAGGAGCGUGUGGCCAGCCUGGAGAAAGAGAAGGCUGCUCUUGAGGAGGCCCUUGCUGCUGCAUGUGCCGAGGCGAAGAGUAAUGCUGAGGCAGCCGAAGGCGCCCGCCGGGACGCUCGCGCAGUGGAGGUGGUGAAGGCCAGCGCCGAAAAAGCCAAAACGGAAGCCGAGGAGGCCCGGAAGCUUGCCGAGGACGCGCGCGCCCGUGGGAGAGAAACUGUCCAGCGAUGGCGCACCGCUAUCAGCUCCGCAUCCGAUUUGGUGCAGGCUGAUAUGCACGGCCCCCGAAGAUGUCGCAGGAAGAAACCGUCAAAGUGUCGAAGCUCUUCCGCUGGAUCCGUGCUUCCUUGGUGAUGGCCAGGUCUGGCGCGGACUUCAAAUUCGAGCUGUCCGCUACGGUUGCGGCACGGACACUUAGCGCUGCCGUCUGCGGUUUGCUUCCGGCGGAGAGCGGCAGCUCUUUGAUGGGCAUUCUGAAGGCUCAACUGCGGCUUCUUCGGGACACGUCUUUUGAGUGGCCUCUGCUGGACUCCUUGCACCCCGAGUCUCUUCGCACUUUGCCAAAGAACAUUGCCAAGAACUUCGCCAAGUACUUCCACAAGAAAGGCCGGGGACUCGUCGACCUAGAGCUGGAGCGCAUGAAGGAUCAGAUUCAAGAGAAAGCGGAGAUCUUCGCUCGAAGUGUGCUUGGUGAAGCAGAUGCUGGCAACUUGCGCAACGGUGCUCCCGGAAGUGGUGGAGACGAGGCCCCUGAGCAAAGUGAAGGCGGAUCUCCCGGAGGGCAAGAGGAUGGCGCGCCGAAGCUUGGGGAGGUGUGAGAGGCGAAGGCCGAGUGAUUUUGUUGUCUUUGUCUAUUGUACUUAAACAAAACAUUAUUGUAUCUAACGCCUUCGGUGUCUACGCAAGACCCUGUGUUGGCCCCUACGUGGAUUACCGAAGGUAUCGUUCCCUGGCAUCUAAACCGUGGGAAUUUUUAUGUUUCUGGUUUAACUUGGGAGAAGAUUCAUGCUCGUCACCCUUGGCUUUUGUUCGAAGACUUCUGGUCGGAUCGAAAACGUAUAUAUGAAUACCGCAACACCGAUACGGAGCGAUUUUUCGCGGAGUUCCAGCGCGAUCCUGAGAAACAUGCUUAGAUUCUGGCCGAGCGCUGGUUUUGCCGUGAGGUAAAACGGCUUCUGGACACCGAUAGGCCUUAUAGUGCGCCCAUGGGCCUUCUGGAGUUGAAGCUGGAGCCCGCACAAAUUUGUGUACCGUCGUAAAGGCAUUUUUGACGAAGAGUCCGCUUAAUGUUGCGUUGACCUCACUUGCAGGGGAGGACUUUGAAGCAUUUCUUCAUCGAAUUGCUGAAGAAAUAUUAGAUCACACGGUCCGCGAGGUCAUAUCUGAGUUGGACCGCAUUAUCUUUGAUGAAGAAACCUCAGAUGUAACUGUAUGAAUUGUUGUGUUCUCUUCACCUUCGUGCAAAGUGUGACACUUCAGGUGUCUAGUAAUUAGAACAUAGGAUAAUGUGUGAAAUUUGUGUUUGUUCUUGUGUGAAAGUUUAAUUUUUUCCAAUGCAAAAUUAGGUGUAUUUUUGUAAUUAGGGAAAAUUACAAGCCCCCUUUUUGCAAAAGUUUUUGACUUAAGGAGCAAAUUCAAAUUUGUAAAGGGCUUUCUUGCAA